GACGAACGCUGGCGGCGUGCUUAACACAUGCAAGUCGAGCGGAGCGGCGAACGGGUGAGUAACGCGUGAGUAACUGCCCCCCUCUCUGGAAUAACAAAUGGAAACGGCUGCUAAUAACGGAUAGUGGGGGCUGAUUCGCGUCCUAUCAGCUUGUUGGUGGGGUAGUGGCCUCCCAAGGCGACGACGGGUAGACGGCCUGAGAGGGCGACCGGCCACAUUGGGCUAAGAGACGGCCCGAACACCUACGGGAGGCAGGAGUGGGUAAUAAAGCAUAAUGGGGGAAAGCCUGAUGCAGGAACGCCGGGUGCGGGAUGGCGGCCGUCUUUUUGUAAACAGACUUCAGUCAUGACGCGGUAGUUGCAGAAGAAGCACCGGCUAACUACGUGCCAGCAGCCGCGGUAAUAC
rnacentral:rRNA from 1 species